GGGUAUAGCUCAAGUGGUAGAGUGCAUGCUUAGCAUGCACGAGGUCCUGGGUUCAAUCCCCAGUACCC
rnacentral:tRNA from 1 species